rnacentral:rRNA from 1 species
CAGCAGCCGCGGUAAUACGAAGGGUGCAAGCGUUACUCGGAAUUACUGGGCGUAAAGCGUGCGUAGGUGGUGGUUUAAGUCUGCUGUGAAAGCCCUGGGCUCAACCUGGGAAUUGCAGUGGAUACUGGAUCACUAGAGUGUGGUAGAGGGAUGCGGAAUUUCUGGUGUAGCAGUGAAAUGCGUAGAGAUCAGAAGGAACAUCCGUGGCGAAGGCGGCAUCCUGGGCCAACACUGACACUGAGGCACGAAAGCGUGGGGAGCAAACAGGAUUAGAUACCCGAGUAGUCCCUGUCUCUUAUAC